UAUGUUUCAUUCCACAACGGCUUUAUUAUGUUUCUUUCUUCUUAUUUGAGUCCCCCACCAAAAGCUCCUUCAAGAAAAAAAAAAGAAACACAAAAGAAGAACAGCAAAACACACAGAGGAAAGGAAAAGAAAACCCUAAAAGCCAGAAAGCGAAAGAAGAAGAAGAAGUACAAGAGAGAAGCACACUGCGUUAUUAAUCUUUAUCUCGUAUUCUGAUUCAGACGCAUUGUUCAUCUUCCUUCGCCUGGUCGGAGGAAAGAGAGAUGGUGAGUGGGCAGAGGUGGACGACAAUGGCGGAGAAGCAGGAGGGACGUUUUCUCUAUAAAAGAAGACGAGAGUCUUGAGAGAUGAAACUCUGAUUUGUUCACUGUAAUCUCAGUUUGGUCUAUGGUGGUAUUGGCGGGACGGCUCAAUCUUCUUCUCUUUUUUCCCUUUUAAUUUCAUUUUGGAAUAUAAAUUUAUCAUGCUGACUAUGUUUUUUCCGGAUUUUAAUUUCACAAUAUUCCUUCGUUUCU